rnacentral:rRNA from 1 species
AUUGAACGCUGGCGGCAGGCCUAACACAUGCAAGUCGAGCGAGCGGCGGACGGGUGAGUAAUGUAUGGGGACUGCCCGCUAGAGGGGGAUAACUACUGGGAACGGUAGCUAAUACCGCAUACUAUCGGAUAACCCAUAUGGGAUUAGCUAGUUGGUGAGGUAAUGGCUCACAAAGGCGACGAUCCCUAGCUGGUCUGAGAGGAUGAUCAGUCACACUUGGACUGAGACACGGCCCAGACUCCUACGGAGGCAGCAGUGGGGAAUAUUGCACAAGGGGCGCAAGCCUGAUGCAGCCAUGCCGCGUGUGUGAAGAAGGGCCUCGGAUUGUAAAGUACUUUCAGUCGGGAGGCGUUACCGACAGAAUAAGCACCGGCUAACUCCGUGCCAGCAGCCGCGGUAAUUC